rnacentral:rRNA from 1 species
CCAGGAGCAUCGCUGGGUAGCUAUGUGUGGCAGGGAUAAACGCUGAAAGCAUCUAAGCGUGAAGCCCCCCUCAAGAUGAGAUUUCCCAUUUCUUCGGAAAGUAAGAUCCCUGAAAGAUGAUCAGGUAGAUAGGUUUGGAGUGGAAGUGUAGCGAUACAUGGAGCGGACAAAUACUAAUCGAUCGAGGACUUAACCAA